AUAGAAGACUGAAAGGAGACCGCUUAUUGUAGAAGCUCGGUCGAAGGUCGGUUGUCAUGGGAGCUCGGAGUAGCAACCUGGUCGAUGAGUCCUGUCCCAUUGUAGAAGCUCGAUCGAAGAUCGGUUGUCGUGGGACCCGACUACGAAGAAGCUCAGCUGAAGUCUACCUAUAAUGGAAGUUUGAAAGGGAUAUGUUUACAGCAG
rnacentral:lncRNA from 1 species